rnacentral:misc_RNA from 1 species
GGAAUAUGUAGCCCCACCGUCCAUUAAAAUCCUACAGUUAACCAAGAACAAUAUCAUUACCAAACCACAAAGGCACGCAUUAUGGUUUCAUAUUUACAGAACAAAACGUGGUUGUCCCUUUUCUUUCGGCUUGGCAACAAAGUGUGGUUUUACCAUGAUCAUGUUUUUCAGGCAAAAGAUAAAUCGGUGUUGAGUGAAAGGACGUCAAGACUAGAAAGAAAAGGGCAAUCCACACUAACACAAAUGAUUUCAUCUAACUUUAGAAAAUAAGGCCACAAGCAUGUAUCUCUUUUAGGAAUUAACUACCAAACUCCCAAUGAUAACAUAAAAAGACCCAAGUGAGUCUUUCAGGAUCAACCUCUAUACAAGUUCUGUCGAAUAUAGGGCAUAACUGAGGAGCAUUAUAAGAAUUGUUCUUCACCUAGCAAAAGCUUGCAUGUCUGCUAACCGUUCUAAAAUUUGCACUUCUGCAGUCUAGAGAUCAGAGUUGAAGCAAAGGCAAUGCCAUUACGAUGCCAAAGAUGGACACCAGCAACAACAUCACCCAGGUUGGGAAUGUGUGCUUUGCGUUUCUUCUUGUGUCCUUCAGUGUAUCUAUUCUAUUCAGAUCUUCUAAUGAAUUAUCAAGUUUUUCCAUACUAGGUCUGGAUUUCUCCUCCUGUGGCACCCGCUCUGAAAUAAUCUGCUCAGAAUGCUGCUGCUGGUUAAACUUCUCCACAUACUCUGGAAACAACUUCCUAAAUGUUGGGUUCUUACAAUUGAAAGCUAGAGAAUUCUUUGCUAGAUGUGCUUUCUCAGCAUCAGUAGUGUUCACACUGCCUGUGGUGGGACUAUUGUCCAUCAUGAAGGAAAGAAGCCCUGUAAGUAUGCUUGAUACAGACCACAUUGGAUUCCAACUUUCGGGAUGAAAAUCGCUCAUAGACAAGCAGAUUUUCUUUUGAGUUGCAAAGCGUCCAUUAGGAGUAAUCAUGGUGAUUCCAGGAGGUUUAUAGGGAUACUCAGGAGGAAACUUGAUCUUUCCGUAGUAAUAUCCACCUGCAAAAGCUGUUCCUUCACUUCCCUCCAAUACAUAAUGCCACUCAAGGAUAUCACUAGGGGAAGGGCAGGCAACGACAUGGGAAACCGGCUCCUACAAGUUCAUUUUACAAACACUGUCAAGUAUAAAACAACUAGAACAAAAUUCUUGUAUAGCAACAGCAAUACAUUGCCUAAAACUAAUUAAAAUACAUUUGUAAACAAUAUCCGGUCUAAUAAACUCAAAAAUGAGAAGAAGUCUUCCUCUUCUUUCCUUUUAUUUAUAAACAAAAGCUGUAUUAUGGAAGUUAGGAAAAGGACAAAAAAUCCUCAAAAUACAGAUGCACAUGCUCUGGAUCAAAAGUGACCAAAAGGCACUGUAGUAUAGAAAAUAAAGCCACGCCAUCCAUCAUAUGGGCUAUAAUAAGUAUUGUGAUAUCAAAAAACUAUAUUGAAAUCCCAGAUAGACAAACUAACAUAUUUUUACAACAGUUAAAAUAGUAGACCUCUAGAAGAUGCUAAACUGAGCUGCAGGCAUGGAUGAAAAUACCAUAAAUAGAUUACAACAUAUGCAAUUGGCGAAAAACAACAACACAUACUUUACAUAGUGCUCUAUAUUCCUUCUGAAGACGCUUGACACACGAUUUUUCGGCCAUUCCUCAACUUUAACUUUAAACUAGUCACAAUGCGAACAACAAAGCUCUAGCUGUUCCUUUUUAUUUAAUCCCAAAACCACAAAAUGUUAGCUGAUACAGAAAAAGAGAACAAUUAAUCAGAUAUAAUAAUGCAUAACAACUGAAAUUAAAGAAAAGUGACCAUAGAGAACCAACAUCAAUAUAAGUUGGUUACACUGCUUAAAAUCUUCUAAUUUAACGACAAUAUGCACAAAAAACAACAUCCAAUCUACAAAAAUCCAUACAAUUAAAAUUAAGGAAAUGUCAAGCCAGACUUUGUGAUUAUGAGGUGCAAGGUUCACUAAUUAUGUAAUUAAUUGCAUAAAUAUAAUACAAUCGCCAAAAGACCUCAUCUCGCGAACUUGCCCAUUGCAAGAUUGAGAUUAAAGUCACAGUUCUAAAAUUAAGGUUGGAAUAACUCUCUGCAAUUAUUCAAUCCAAUUGUGAUUAAUAAACCAUAAAUAUAUUAAUUGUAGGGCACCAAAAUUAACAAAGAAAGAAAACCCAAAAACAUCUGUAAUAAGAAAAACCUAAGGAGAUCAAUGUACAUGGUGAUAAUUGGAGAAUGAUUAAUGAUUAACUAACAAAAGAAGCUAAAAGGAUCAAUUCUGAAUUAACCAAUUCGCAUCUACCAAAUGAAAAUAGUCAAAACGACAAAGGAGAAUCCACCAAAUCCAAUCAAGCAGAAACCAAAAAGAAAUAUAACAACAGAGGGAUCGAUCUUAAACACCAAAUCGAAAUGUUCGCAAAAUUAAGGAAAAA